UCGGGAAUUUUGGGCAAUGGGGGAAACCCUGACCCAGCAACGCCGCGUGAAGGAUGAAGUAUUUCGGUAUGUAAACUUCGAAAGAAUAGGAAGAAUAAAUGACGGUACUAUUUAUAAGGUCCGGCUAACUACGUGCCAGCAGCCGCGGUAAUACGUAGGGACCAAGCGUUGUUCGGAUUUACUGGGCGUAAAGCGCGUGUAGGCGGGUCGUUAAGUUGGGGGUGAAAUCCCGAGGCUCAACCUCGGAACUGCCUUCAAAACUGGCGACCUGGACCUAAGUAGAGGCAAGUGGAAUUGCGAGUGUAGAGGUGAAAUUCGUAGAUAUUCGCAGGAACACCAGUGGCGAAGGCGACUUGCUGGACUUAUGGUGACGCUGAGACGCGAAAGCGUGGGGAGCAAACAGGAUUAGAUACCCAUGUAGUCCCUGAGCGGGCUGGCAAGGCGCAU
rnacentral:rRNA from 1 species